UACAUCCUUGCGUUAGUGUGUGGGUUGCUACUGAUGCCCCAUGCGAUGUCACAUGAUGUGGCGAAUGAUCGAACCAAAAAGUACUGGUUUGAGAAAGAUAGUUGACCUGGGCAGGUGUUUGAGUCUGGUUAUUAGUCGAUGAUGUAGGUCCUGGGGACUCUUGGUCAUAUGUUUCGCCAGCGAUCAGUGUCUCUUUCUUUGAGAACAAACUCCAAUCCGCAGAACAAGCAUCAAGCAAAUGAUCAACAAAAGGAAAAUGUAUCCAACUAUGUACGCUUACAUAUCUUCACAUGCUCAAUCUGCUUUUUAUGAUGUUCAUGGUAUAUGAAAUGAUUAAAUGUCCUUAUUCACCCUUAGAUAUAUAUUUGCCAAAUCAUGAAGUCCAGUAGCUGCCCUCAAACUCUGUAAGGAUCAGGCACAUGCUAAGGUAUGCAGCCCACGUUAGGCUGUGACGGGAAGGAUUACAGGGACUUUUUUUCCAACAAGAAAAUGAAAAGAUCUAUUUAUUCACAAAAAUAUAAGUGAGCAUCUGAUUCAAGGAAAAAUACUCCUAAGGCAAGUAUAACAGUUCAUGAUACUCACCUAGCAUUCACAAAUAGAGAUUGGCCAUGCCUUCACUGCCUGAUGAGGUUGUCAAUUUUAUUUUUCCUUGUUCGGAAAAGAUAAUGAAGAUUAAAAUGAUGGGUCUAGUAUGUCACUUCAGCAAUAGGAUGCAGUCACCAUAUUUUAGUUAGAUGAACAUAGAUUAAUGCCAAACGUUUUCAUUAGUAGAAUAUAAUGGAACAAUUCCAUUCUCAAAAUGUUGGAACAUAAUGCAUCAAGUCCAAUGAGAUACACUACCAGAAAGAAAUGAUUAUAAUUCCCUAAACACAUAACCAUACCGUUAAACAACUAUCUUCUUCUCCUUUACCGCCCCUGUUGAUGGGGCAUCUGGCUCACAAUCCAGCCUCCACCCCCACUCAAGGUCUUCUGAUCGAGAUAUGGAAGAGUCAAUUAAAAGAUGAAAUUUGAAUUUAAGAUGAUUUCAAUUCUGCAAUGAAGACAAGGCUAAUUAAUUUAUAGUGUGUCGGCCCUACCAAGAUUAACCGUAGGAAGCGCCUCUAGAACCAGAAUGAGCAGCUCACAUUCACUAUGUUGAGUAGCUGCAUGAGCUGCUCAUUCUAGUCCUGGAGGUGCUUCCUAUGGUUUUAAUUGUAGUCUCAGAUCUCUAUAUUAGCUGUGUUUUCCAAACACCUUUGGCUUCAAUAGCAGCAAUGUGCUCUUCUGCAUCAUCAUAUGAAGAGGACUCCAGAUAUGGAUGCAUGGGUAGAUUCACUAUCAUGAAGUAGCAUAGGAGUGCUAAAAAGACUGACUCAGACCUUGCUACCGCCAUAUAUUUCCCGGCGUUAUUCAGCCUUUGGUAAUCAUAAUUCUGUUAGCAUGGUAUCAAGUAUCAUACUGCAAGGCAUCCUCACUACUGCUGGAGCAGCCUGUAGUUUUCAACAGCAUGUAAAGUGGCAUUAGGGGUAUACCUUAGACUCAAAACUUAUAACCUGUUUAUACUGAUCAAAGGAAUAAACAACCUAUCAAUUAAAUCAAAAUCACAUGACAUGGCGAAUGAUCAAACCAAAAAAUACUGGUUUGAGAAAGAUAGCUGACCUGGGCAGGUGUUUGAGGCUGGUUAUUAGUCGAUGAUGUAGGUCCUGGGGACUCUUGGUCAUAUGUUUCGCUAGCGAUCAGUGUCUCCUUCUUUGAGAACAAACUCCAAUCCGCAGAACAAGCAUGAAGCAAAUGAUCAACAAAAGGAAAAUGUAUCAAAUAUGCACACUUAAAUAUCUCCACAUGCUCAAUCUGUUUUUUAUGAUGUUCAUGGUAUAUGAAAUGAUUAAAUGUCCUUAUUCACCCUUAAAUAUAUAUUUGCCAAAUCAUGAAGUCUAGUAGCUGCCCUCAAACUCUGUAAGGAUCAGGCACAUGCUAAGGCAUGCAGCCCACAUUAGGCUGUGGCGGGAAAGAUUACAGGGACUUUUUUCCCAACAAGAAAAUGAAAAGAUUUAUUUAUUCACAGAAAUAUAAGUGAGAAUCUGAUUGAAGGAAAAAUACUCGUAAGGCAAGUAUAACAGUUCAUGAUGCUCACCUAGCAUGCACAAAACAGAGACUGGCCAUGCAAUCUUCACUGCCUGAUGAGGUUAUCAAUUUUAUUUUCCCUUGUUCGGUGAAGAUAAUGAAGAUUAAAAUGAUGGGUCUG
rnacentral:lncRNA from 1 species